GUAAAUCACACACUUUUAUUAUCAGCUUAGUCGUUGAAUUUGUACAAAGAGAUCAAAUAAUGCAAUUACAAGACUAGACCAUUGGACAUUGUGAUACGCACACAAAAUCAGACAAAGGGGGCUGAUCGCAGCAGGGCAGCUAUGCAAACUGGAGCAGACGACAGAUCAGGUAAACAGGGCCAUGUUAUGUGGUUUCGGAAAAGCAUUAGCAGCACGCACACACACACACACACACACACACACACACACACACACACACACACACACACACACAGAGAGAGAGGCACAAUUCACUAGCACACCAGGUGGAGAAGUUACAGCAAACACAUGUCAGGACAAAAGUGUCACCACAUCAUUAAGUUCACAGUGGACCAGACUCUAACCAAGAUGUAGGUCACAGAUAGAAAGCUUUCUCAUCAAACAUUAUAGUCAGCAGUCAGGAGUGGGUUUGCCUCUGAUUCUGUCAGUCCUGGAUCAUCAGUGCUUCUUCAGGCAGCAGUUGUAAAAGCUUUCCAUUGUAUGCUGAAUACUAGAGCAGUGCGUUUUUGAAUGUUGCUUAAAUGCAGAUUUAUCAGUCAAAGAGCUUCACAAAUCUCUGAAAUUCUACUUCUAACGCCUGUGAAAGGAGCUUGUUUUUAGAAAGCAUCACCUAAAGGAGCCAGUGACUGACCCAGGGAUAAUGUUCAAAACUGGAGGAGCUCAUCAG